UACAGAGGUCCCAAGCGUUGUUCGGAUUCACUGGGCGUAAAGGGUGCGUAGGUGGCUUGGUAAGUUUGAUGUGAAAUCUCCGGGCUUAACCCGGAAAUGGCAUUGAAUACUAUUGAGCUGGAGGUUUGGAGGGGGGACUGGAAUUCUCGGUGUAGCAGUGAAAUGCGUAGAUAUCGUAAGGAAGACCAGUGGCGAAGGCGGGUCUCUGGACAGUUCCUGACACUGAGGCACGAAGGCCAGGGGAGCAAACGGG
rnacentral:rRNA from 1 species